rnacentral:rRNA from 1 species
GACGAACGCUGGCGGCAUGCCUAACACAUGCAAGUCGAGCGAGCAGAUCCCUUCGGGGUGAAGCUAGCGGCGGACGGGUGAGUAACACGUGGGCAACCUGCCUCAUAGAGGGGAAUAGCCUUCCGAAAGGGAGAUUAAUACCGCAUAAGAUUGUAGCUUCGCAUGAAGCAGCAAUUAAAGGAGUGAUCCGCUAUGGGAUGGGCCCGCGGCGCAUUAGCUAGUUGGUGAGGUAACGGCUCACCAAGGCGACGAUGCGUAGCCGACCUGAGAGGGUGAUCGGCCACAUUGGGACUGAGACACGGCCCAGACUCCUACGUGAGGCAGCAGUGGGGAAUAUUGCACAAUGGGGGAAACCCUGAUGCAGCAAUGCCGCGUGAGUGAUGACGGCCUUCGGGUUGUAAAGCUCUGUCUUUGGGGACGAUAAUGACGGUACCCGAGGAGGAAGCCACGGCUAACUACGUGCCAGCAGCCGCAGUAA